CUUCAACAGUUGUUGGUUGAAAUGACACGUGAUUCCAGCCUGCACUAGGUGACGCUGAAGCCACAGAAGACACUGCAGUGGGAAAACCAGCAUGAGCCGCUGCCCCCAAGGAACCUCGAAGCCCAGGCAGAGGACCAGCCAUCCCAGCCCGCAGGUAAAGUGUGUCACCUGUCAGGUGGGCUUGGGGUGAGUGGGUGGGGGAAGUGUGUGUGCAAAGGGGGUGUGAGUGUGUAUGUGUGUGAGCACAUGAGUGAUGGCUAGUGUGACUGCAUGUCAGGGAGUGUGAACAAGCGUGCGAGGGUUGUGUGCAAGUGCGUAUGCAUAUGAGAAUAUGUGUCUGUGGAUGAGUGCAUUUGAAAGUCUGUGUGUGUGUGGUCAUGAGGGUAAGUUAGUGACUGAAUGCGCAGGAUGUGAGUGUGCAUGGAACACUCAGUGUGUGUGUGGCAAGUGUGUAGGCGUGUGAGGACAGGCAGAAGUGUGUCAGUGUUGUGAUGGGAGUGUGAAUGAGUGUGCAAAAAGGUGAGUGAAUGCAUGGAAGUGUGUGUCAACUAUGAAGGCAUGUAGUGUGUCAGUGUGUGCAGUGCAAGCAUGUGUGGGAAUGAGUGCUUGUUGGUGUGUCCAUAUCCAACGGGUAUGUGUGAAAGCAUGUAAAAGUGUGUGUAGUGUGAUGGUGUGUGGAUGUAUCAGUGUGUAUAAAUGAGAGCAUGUAAAUGUGUAUGUAUGAGUGUUGAGUGUGCAUAUGUGAGGCUGUGCGUGUGAGUGUAACCAUGAGGGUGUGAACGUGCUUAAGUGUAUGUGCGUGUGACAGUGCAAGUGUAGGUGUGUGAUGCAUGUGUGGGUUUGCCAGUGUAUGAGUGUACAUGGUGUGGAUCUGAAUGUGCACAGUGUAAAGGGCAUGAGUGCAAGUGUGUGUGAGUGUAUGUGAAUGAGUGGUAGUGUGCAUGCAUGUGUGAGUGCACGCUCAGAAGCAUGGAUGGGUGCAAGCCUCCCCUACUAACUCCUCCUCCUUCCUGAGAUCAAAAAAGUAUGUGUUUUCUGUGUUUCAAAAAUGUUUUAAAAUUAUGUACUGUAUUUAAUAGCUCUUAUGACUACAGUGUUUUUCUCUCUGCUUAAAGUGCAGCAGGGGCUGGGCGCAGUGGCUCACACCUGUAAUCCCAGCACUUUGGGAGGCCAAGGCAAGUGGAUCAGUUGAGAUCAGGAGUUCAAGACCAGCCUGGACAACAUGGUGAAACCCCAUCUCUACUAAAAAUACAAAAAUUAGCCGGGCAUGGUAGCGGGUGCCUGUGAUCCCAGCUACUGGGGAGGCUGAGGUGGGAGAAUCGCUUGAACUCGGGAGGCCGAGGUUGCAGUGAACCGAGAUUGCACCACUGCACUCCAGCCUGGGCGACAGAGCGAGACUCUAUGCAAAAAACCCCAAAAAAUCCAAUGUAGCUAAAAGCAGUUUGAUGAUAACAGUGACACUGAAAUGAGAAUUGUGUCAGAAAAACCACAAACAAUAAUGAAAUGGCUCCUAUAUAACCCAUCCCCAAAAACCCACGUAAAGAAGAAAACAGGGCUGGGUGUAGUGGUUCAUGCCUAUAAUUCCAGCACUUUGGGAGGCCCAGAAGGGAGGAUUGCUUGAGCCUGGGAAAUCGAGGCCACAGUGAGCUGUAUUUGCACCACUGUACUUCAGCCUGAGAGUCAGAGUGAAACCUUGUCUCAAAAACAGAAAGACGAAAAGGGUACCUGAGGUAUUAACUCUGAUCAUCAGUGAGUGGAAAGAUUCUGGUAUUCUGGUGCUUUCCAUUUUC
rnacentral:lncRNA from 10 species